rnacentral:rRNA from 1 species
UGACGCCGCGUGAGGGAUGAAGGCCUUCGGGUUGUAAACCUCUUUCAGCAGGCAAUAAGCGAAAGUGAAGUACCUGCAGAAGAAGCACCGGCUAACUAUGUGCCAGCAGCCGCGGUAAUACAUAGGGUGCAAGCGUUGUCCGGAAUUAUUGGGCGUAAAGAGCUCGUAGGUGGUCGAUCACGUCGGAUGUGAAAAUCUGAGGCUUAACCUCAGACCUGCAUUCGAUACGGGUUGACUGGAGUGUGGUAGGGGAGACUGGAAUUCCUGGUGUAGCGGUGGAAUGCGCAGAUAUCAGGAGGAACACCGAUGGCGAAGGCAGGUCUCUGGGCCAUUACUGACACUGAGGAGCGAAAGCGUGGGGAGCGAACAGGAUUAGAUACCCUGGUAGUCCACGCCGUAAACGGUGGGCGCUAGUUGUGGGAACCUUCCACGGUUUCUGCGACGCAGCUAACGCAUUAAGCGCCCCGACUGGGGAGUACGGUCGCGAGACUAAUACUCAAAGAAAUUGACGGGGCCCCGCACAAGCAGCCGGAGCCAUGCGGCUUAAUUCGACGCAACGCGA